CUUGUCAACGAAGUCAGCCCAGAACCUGGCUUGGGCUCUAAGGUAAGGAUCAGAGGGCAACAGAGGAGUUUUAUCCUUCCAAACCUCAUCAAUGUACUCAAGGGCAACUAGGGACUCGGACACCGGUUUGCCAUUGUGAAUGAGAACCGGGAUCUUCUUGUGAACCGGGUUCGACUGGAGCAACAGUGCACUCUUGUUACUCAAGUCCUCCUCUUUGUACUCGUACUGAAUGCCCUUCUCAGCCAGUGCAACUCUCACCCUCAUCCCAAAUGGGCUUGGCCAGAAGUCCAACAACAACACCUCAUCCGCCAUUGAAGACUCAAAUUUGAACUUAGCUUAAUUAAGAUAUGGAGCUGUGGAGGGUGGUGAUGUGUGUCAGUGUGAGUAUUUAUGGACAAACAUUCAAAGCAGCAGCAAUCAGAUUACGUCAUUGCAUGCGUUCGAUAUAUUUUCAUUGAAUACUGUUCCUAAUAAUAUAAUUGAGAAAGUAGGACUAACGUAUGGAUUUUAUUAUUUUAUUAUUUUUUGGGUCAAGGACCCCAUUGGUUUUAGGUAGACGAACUUGAACACGCAACACAAAUACCAAAGAAUAAACUGAAAAUAUACAAUUUUUAAUGACUUUUUAGGCAUAUAAAAUAUUUGAAGGAGAUAAGCGAUAGCUUUUUUUCUUUUCUUUUUUGGGUCAAGGGAGGUGAUAUAUAUAUAGCUUCUUGAGCCUGCACAGAAUAUAUCAUAAUGCAGUUGACAAGAAAACAUUUAGUAGAAGUUGAGAACUUGAUAAUUUGACUACAAAGGCAAACCACCAAAAACAUAUGACCAGAGAGUUUGACGGAAACAAGUCCAUUUGUUUUUGUAUUGUUUUUUAUUGUAUGUAUUUCGGAAACGAGUCGGGUAGGGGCCGGGUAUGACAGUAUCAUCCUCGUCCUCGCUCUCCAUCCCCGCCUCUGUUCUCGAACCCAUCCCCAUCUCCGUUCUCAUCGGGGGACUAUUCCUCAUACCUGCCCCGAAUCCCUGAAUUUGUUUGCAUAAAAAAUAUUUAUCAUAUAUUUUAACAUUAAAUUUCAUAUUAAAUUAUCAUUCAACACAUCCAAAUUAACUAUAAAGUUUAACUCAACUAUUCAGAAUCACAUCAAUAUGAAAUUCCAAAGAAGAUUAGAAAGAAUUAGGAGAGAGAGGUUAACUUAGGGUUAAACAUAAAUAUUGUAAUUAUAUAUGUAUUUAUUUAAAUAUAAACAUAUAUAUUUUCGGAUCGGGUUUGGGGAUGGGGACACCAAUACCAUCCCCUCCCCAUAUCCGUAGGGGAUUUUUCAAGUUCGGAAAUUCCCGUACCCGAUACCCGUUUGACCCCGAAAUCUCCUCCCAUUAGGGUCGGGGACCCGUCCCCGUGGGAAUUUCUGUCAUCCCUAGUUUUGAUAAACUGAAUAGUCAUGGGGGAGCUGGAAGCCCUAUAAGCUUCGCAGAAACAGUGUUUUUUUUUUUUUUUUGGGGUGAGUGAUAAUUCUCUGCAGGAAGGAAGUAGGAUUAAAAAUAACAUUUUAACUAAUCCCAUUGAAUUGUCUAGCAAUUUUCUUAUGCAAAUUUUCUUAAAAUUGGGGAGGAAUUUAUCGAAGUCCUGAAGCAGUUGGAAGGAGAGCUUGGAAACAAAUUAACCUUACUUUGAGGGUGAGAGUUUUGGGUUCCUGGACAUUUCCCUUAUCACAUUCUACAGCUUGGUUCUAUGAAUUUGAGACCUGUGGAAACUUCAGCAUAGAGGCAGAGAGUCCCAAGCUGAUUGCAUGGGCCAAGAGGUGCAUGCAGAAGGACAGUGUGUGCAAAACACUUCCUGACCAUAAAAAGGUGUAUGAGUCUGUUAUUGGCAUGAAGAAGAUGUUUGGUAUGGAGUAGAAGAAGAAAAUAGGGUUCUAGCAUAUUAAUUAUCACACAAUGUUAAUUAGAGAGUCUGCAAUGAAGUCUUAGGCUGUUCUAGUUUUCUUUCCUUUCAGCUUCAUUUUUUUUUUCUCAAUCUAAUAAAAAUAGGAGCUGCUUGCCAACCAGGGUCUGGAAAAGGGCCUUACUUGCAGACGAGUGUGAAAAAUCCUCAUGACACCUUUGUGAUGUGUGUGAAAAAUCCUCUUGUCUUAUUGUUUAGACUAUUACUUGUUAAAAUAAAUAAAUAGGAGCUACUUUAAACACUCGAACCCCAAAAAGAAAAACUCCCACUGGAUAGAAGCAAGGUGAUCAGCAGCAUAAUCACUUUCUCUGGCAAAUCGUGCAGCUCCAAUCUUGAAGAUAUUUAUCUUUCAAUAUAAAACUUUUAUGACAAGUGGAUCCUCAAGACUUCGGCUUUACCAUUGAUAAAAUUUAUUUAUUAGAAGCUUUAAAUUAUGACUAGCACUUAGUGCUGUAGCAUCAACUUUUUAAAGAUCACCUACAAUGCUAGCCCACAAUCACAUAUGACGAAAGCAGUGACAACUACUGGCACUAUUGAUCAAGUUUACAAAUGUCAACACUACAAGCCAAAGCACACGCAGACACCUCAUAGUUAAAAUCCAAAACGAUGUCGCAUCAUCCUUUUGUAUUAUAUAAACGUUACACUUAAAUUGCAGUCUUAGCAGUAGAAGUCAGUGCUGCAUGCCUUUCUUGCUUGAUGAGUCUUUGAGUUUAGCAACAAGCUAAGCUGCUACAAGAAGAGGAAGUUUGUGUGUGUCGGAAAUGGCGGAUGAUGAGGUUGUUGUUUUGGGAUUCUGGCCAAGCAUGUAUGGGACGAGGGCAACGAUAGCUCUGGACGAGAAGGGUGUCAAGUAUGAGUACAGAGAGCAGGACUUGAGGAACAAGAGCUCACUGCUUCUGCAGAUGAACCCGGUUCACAAGAAGAUCCCGGUUCUCAUCCACAACGGUAAACCGGUCUGUGAGUCACUCAUCAUUGUGCAAUACAUUGAUGAGGUUUGGGAGGGUAAAGCUCCUUUGCUUCCCUCUGAUCCUUACCAGAGAGCUCGGGCCAGGGUCUGGGCUGAUUUCAUUGAUAAGAAGGUAAUUAAUGAACUUGUUUUCUGUAUAAUUUUCUAUUUUCCCUUCUCCUUUUAAGUUGGUAUCAUAUGUAUAUAUUGUUUGCAAUUUAAUUUAAUUUUAUAUGUGAUUUGGAUUUGCAUGGAUUUUUACCAUCUUGGAUAUUUGUUUUCAUGUGUUUUAAUAUGUCACUCUCUUUUUGUGAUCAUACUGAAAAAAGAAAAAAAAAUGGACAUAUUUGAAAUUGGUAUGUUUUCACAAAUCCAAAUUGAAAGAAAUUCAGAGCAUUUUUUUUUUUAAGGGGAAGCAGAUCAAUUUUGAGGUUAAGCCAUUUUUGAAACAGGUUAAUAUGCAACAUAUUGCUGUCUGAGACAAUGAAGAACAACACCAAUUUAUUUUUGUAUAUUCCUCUUGUUUUCUUUUGGUGGAAUUUUUUUUAUAAAAAGUGAAAACACUGAAUAGUCUACAAUUUUUCUUUUGGAAAAUUGUAGGUACCUGAUGCUAGGAAGAAACUAUGGAGCACAAAAGGAGAAGAACUUGAGGAAGCCAAGAAGGAAUUCAUCGACAUCCUUAAGCAGUUGGAAGGAGAGCUUGGAGACAAGCCUUACUUUGGGGGUGAGAGCUUUGGGUUCUUGGACAUUGCACUCAUCACAUCCUACAACUGGUUUUAUGCAUUUGAGACCCUUGGAAACUUCAGCACAGAGGCAGAGUGCCCCAAGCUGAUUGAAUGGGCCAAGAGGUGCAUGCAGCGGGAGAGCGUUUCGAAAUCUCUUGCCGACCCUAAAAAGGUGUAUGAGUUUCUUCUUGGCUGGAUAACUGGAUAGAAUAGGCUGCUAGCCAGUCCUGCAAUCAAAUGUUAUGUUGUUGUUCUCUUCUGGUUCAUUUUCCUCUCAACUUUGUUUUUCCAGUGAGAGAUCCUUUGGUUCUGUGAGUGUCUAAAUUAUGUUUUUUGGUUGAUUGUUGAUACUUGAAUGGCUUAAACUUCUUUGCUGUAACAAGUUCACAACAAUUUGAUAAUUUCACUGCAAAACCAAACAAAAGGAGAGCAUAUGACAAGAUCAGGCACAACAAAGUUGCCCUCUUUUAUUGCAAAUAUAAAGAACCCAAAACUUGAAACACAGAAAAAGUACAAGCUUAAGUGCCCAUGCAUCUACUGAUCAAUCCCCUUCGCUUUCAUGCGCUGCAGAAACAAGUCAUAGAUCGCUUUCUGGUCAGCAAGAGACUUGGACACACUCUCCUUCUGCAUGCACCUCUUUGCCCAUGCAUAAAACUUGGCUGCUCUGCCUCUAUACUGAAGUUGCCACAUUUCUCAUACACAUAAAACAAGCUAUAGAACGGAACAAGGAACCCGAGGGUUUCACCCCAAAAGUAAGGCUUGUCUCCAAGCUCUCCUUCUAGCAAUCCAAUGCACUCAAGGAACUCUUUCUUAGCUGCUUCCUGUUCUUCUCCUUUGGUUGUCCAUACCACCCUCCCAAUCUCAUACACCUGCAUUUAACAUCACCAAAAUUGCAGAAAAUUUUAGGGUUAAUAAUAAUCUUAGGAGAAAAGAAUUUAGACCACCUUUUUUUCGGGUCAAGGACGUUGAACACGCAACACAAACGCUAUGGAUCAGAAAGUGAAUUGAAAAUUAUACAAUUUUUAGUGACUUUUUAGGCAUAUAUAAGAUUUGAAGGAGGUAUGCGAUUGCUUGUUUUUUUUUUUUUUGGCUUCAAAGUAGGUGAUAUAUAUAGCUUCUUGAGCCUGCACAGAGCAUAUCAUAAUGUGGGUGACAAGAAAACAACUAGUAGAAGUUGACAAAAUUUUGAUAAUUUGACUACAAGUGCCCUUUUAUUCUCAUUUCAAAAUGUUGAAGAAUACAAGUCCCAUAUUGGAAAUUGGACUAAAUAAAGUACAACAUAUAAUGAAUGGUUUCACUACUAAUAUCAUUGAGGUCUUUGUGAUAAAAUUCCACACCUAUUGGGCUUUGUAGAUGGUUAAGUUGGGGACAAUAUCGGUAUUGCUAGUAGUGAACCGCUAGCUCAUCUCUCUGAAAUUUAACACAAAAAACUCCAAAAUAGAAAUAGUGACUCUUCCUGAGGCCCGAGCUAAAAUUUAAUAUUGUGAUAGAUAGUAAACCAAUUUCAUCUAAUCUUGCAGAGGCCCAUAAAAAUCUAAAUUGGUUUUUUUAUAUUAAUUUUUGUGGUAUUUAAAUUCACCGUUGAUGCCACACUGAUGCCACGCUAACAUCAGCAAAUCUCACCUUCGGGCUUGCUCUUUAGCAAAACGACUUACAGCUUGCCCCGUGACACGCCCACCCAAAUUCGGCCGCCCACGACAUUUUUUCAACACAUGCAAACAAAUCAAACACAUUUAUAUAUUUGCUAUCAGUCAAGCUAGACAGAGCUUGAAGAAGAAGAAGAAGCUUGUUUUGCGUAUCAGUCGACAAUGGGGGAUGAGGUUGUUCUUUUGGACUUUUGGGCAAGCAUGUUUGCGAUGAGGGUGAGAGUGGCGCUGGCUGAGAAGGGUGUCAAGUAUGAGAACAGAGAGGAGGACUUGUGGAACAAGAGUUCAUUGCUUCUGCAGAUGAACCCGGUUCACAAGAAGAUCCCGGUUCUCAUCCACAACGGUAAACCGGUCUGUGAGUCUCUGAUCAUUGUGCAGUAUGUUGAUGAGGUUUGGAGAGACAAAGCUCCUCUGCUUCCCUCUGAUCCUUACCAGAGAGCUCGGUCAAGGUUCUGGGCUGAUUUCAUUGACAAGAAGGUAAUUAACUUGUCUAAGUUGUUUGUCUCUUGCCUUUUUUUCUAUAUAUAAUGCUGCUACAUAUAUAUACUGAUUGCAAUUCAACUCCAGAAAAUUUAUAAAUUUUUUUGAAAAUCUAAGUUUUCCCAGGUUAAAAUUUACUUAUAUUAGAUCAAAUUGAAUUCAUAAAUGAGAAACUGUUUUUUCAUGGGAGUUUCAAUGGGUCACUCUGUUCCACACCAGACCUUGAAGCUCAAUUACAACAUGAUCUUGCUUGCUAUCUGGGAAGAUUGUAUAAAAAAUAAACAUAAAACAAGUCCAUUUUAAAAAAAAAAUUUAUCUUAUUGAUUCUGUGUGUCUGGAUAAAUGAGUGGAAUUUUGAUGUAAUGUUUGCAAAAAUUGCAGCUAUACGUUGCUUCGAGGAAAAUAUGGGGCACAAAAGAAGAGGAACAAGAGGCAGGCAAGAAGGAAUUUAUUGAAGCCCUUAAGCAGUUGGAAGGAGAGCUUGGAGACGAGCCCUAUUUUGAGGGUGAGAGCUUUGGGUUCUUGGACAUUGCUCUUAUCCCAUUCUACAGCUGGUUCAAUGCAUAUGAGACUUGUGGAAACUUCAGCACAGAGGCAGAGUGCCCCAAGCUGAUUGAAUGGGCCAAGAGGUGCAUGCGCCGGGAGAGCGUGUCGAAAUCUCUUGCCGACCCGAAAAAGGUGUAUGAGUUUCUCACUAUUUGGGUAGGAUUAUAGAACAGGCUGCUAGCCAGCAGCAGACUGUCACCAUGAUCACCAUGUUAGCAAGUCCUGCAAUCAAAUGUUUGGCAGUUCUUCUGGAUCUUUUUACUUUCAGCUUUGUUUUUCCGGAUAUUUGCCAUUGACAAUAGUAAUGCAGAUACUCUGAUGUGUUUGCCUAUUGUUAUGAAUAAAGUGUUCAUAUGUAGAAAGGGUGUUUCUGAGUUGCAUUUUUUUGGCUGCUUGUUGAGCUUUGUCAUAACAAGUUCACAACAAUUUGAUAAUUUGACUACAAAACGUAUAUGACCAGAGGCACAACAAAGUGCCUCACAAAGUAGAGGGGGCUUGGCCAAGUGCCCUUUUAUUCUAAUUUCAAAACAACCCAAAACAGAGGUUAGAAACUUCGAACACAGAACAAGUAGCCAAUGCUUUUUCCCAUCUACUCCAUUCCAAGUUUACUCCGAAGGCGCAGGGCGAAUUCGUAGACCCUUUUCUGGUCAGGAAGAGACUUGGACACACUCUCCUUCUGCAUGCACCUCUUUGCCCAUGCAAUAAUCUUAGGGUGCUUUGCCUCCACACUGAAGUUUCCAAAUUUCUCGCCUACUUAACCAGUUAUAGGUAGGAAUAAGUGCCACGUCCACGAAUCCGAGGUUCUCACGCCCAAGGUAAGGCUUGUCUCCAAGCUCUUCUUCUAACAACCUUGUGCACUCAAGGAAUUCCCUCUUUGCUGCUUCCUGUUCUUCUCCUUUGGUUCUCCAUGCCCUCUUUCUAUUCUCAUAUACCUGCAUUUUGAUUGGAGUGGAUUUUUACACAAGCAUUGAUCCUAUUUCCAUUUAAUUAUCAUUCUAAUAAUCUACAUCCUCAGUAAUAGUUCCAUGUAUCACAAAAAUCUUAAAGUUCUAACAUAUUCCAAACACAAAUUAGUAAUAUUACCUUCUUGUUAACGAAGUCAGUCCAGAACAUGGCUUGGCCUCUAAGGUAAGGAUCAGAGGGCAAAAGAGGAGCCUUAUCCUUCCAAACCUGGUCGAUGUACUGAACCGCAAUGAGAGACUCGGAGACCGGUUUGCCAUUGUGAAUGAGAACCGGGAUCUUCUUGUGAACCGGGUUCAUCUGCAGCAAGAGUGAGCUCUUGUUGGACAAGUAGUCCUCUUCCCUGGACUCGUACUGAAUACCCUUCUCAGCCAGAGCGAUUCUCACCCUCAUCCCAUAAGGGCUGGCCCAGUAGUUCAACAACACCACCUCAUCCGCCAUUGACAUAUUUGAAUUGCUUGAUAUAAAGUUACAGGGGUUACAAAUAUAAUGAUUGAAAUAGUAAAAGCUUUUAUUCUCCUUGAUGACGACUGGGGACCUCUGAUCCCAUAUAUAUACAAAAAUGGUGACUGCAGGAUAUUAUUUCCUCCACAAAUUAAAGAGGCGCUAAAGCACUUGCAGAGGCCCAUUGACUUCAAAUUUAAAAGAAAUUUAAAACAAGUUGACUAAGCCCAAAACAGAACUAGCCUAUUUAUUAUGUCCUUAAUAUUUUCUAUUUUAUUGAAUAUUGUUAUAAAAUAACUUAGAAUAUGUGCGAUAAUUCAGAGCUGCACGUAAAGUAGAUGAGACACAGCAUUUAACGAGGUUCGGCUAUGCCUACGUCCUCGGAGAGCAGAAGUAGUAACUUUUCCACUAUGUAAAAUAAUAGGGCUACAAGUUUAGUGUUUACAAUAUAUGUGGCUCACUGAAUUUUCUCUCUAGGAGAAUUUCUCUCUGCUCUCUCUUUCCUCUUUCUUCCUUCUCUUCCUUUCUCUUUUUUCUUCUCUUCUUCUUUCCGUUUCUCUUCUUAUUUAUAGGCUGAAAUAAUCACUAUUCAUCACUGUUCACCCGUGACAGACAAACUCUAUCAAAGCCGCCAAAUGAACAGUAAUGAACAGUAAUGAAAACUCUAUCAAGCCGCCAAAUGAAUAGUAAUGAACAGUAAUGAAUAGUUAGUGGGCUCCACAUGUUUAUUCUUUUAUUCUUUUACAACACUCCCCCUUGGAGACCACUAAUGAUAUGUCGGUUGUAUCAUUAAAGACUUGCUUGGAGAAAACCUAGUAAGGUAGAGAACUGAUGGAAAGAAGAGUACAACAAUCUGUAUAGCAUACUUCUGGAUGCUCCCCCUGAUUAAUAUCUCCCCCUGAUGUCUUCAUGAUUAUCUUUUGGAUUGAGAAUCUUUCGGAGUGAGUGGAUGAUGUAGCCACCAACAAUUCAUAUAGUAAAUAUAUUUCCAGUGAGCUAUCUCUAUGUAAAUCAUAGAAAUUUUCAGAGUCCGCAUAUCUAAUAACGCUUGGGCUAUUUAUAAGUUCACUUGAAAGAAUAUGCCCAUACAUGGUGUUAUGCGGAAAUAGCAUCAAAUAUACCUCACAUCAUCCCAAAAUGAUGGUGAUGGAGUUGAGCCUUAUCUGGAAAAUAUGAUAUCCGGUCCAACAUACUUCCGGAAAAUCCUUAAAGUGCCCAACGGAUAAUCCUCAUAAAAAUGCUUCAAUACUUUCUUAGUAUAAGCAAGUAUCUCGUUGGCAUAAUGUUCGAUCUUUAAGUCGAGACAAAUAUUUCUGGAAUUCUUGAGAAGCUUUAAUGUGUUGCAAACACAUUAUAAUCAAUAUACUCACUGAGGCAAUUUAUGUACAUUAAUAUUGAGUACAGAUUUCGUGCUUCAGGCACAUGUCCACAGACUUGCUUCAUGCAAUUUCAAUCCUUUCAAGGAUUUUGUUUAAAGGGAUUAAACUCUAUGACACAUUAUAUAGCUUUAACCCAGCUAUUUAUACAUCUUUAGGGAAUCACUUCAGGUGAUAUGCUCUGUGCAUUUAAUAACCCUUAAAGAUAACAUGUUGGUCUCCGUAAAUGUGCAAUAAAGGGGCACAAUUGAAUCUAUAAAUAUGGAGAAAACCCAACAUCCCUUGUUUAUGUCAAAAACAUUGUGUCAUACAAAGUAGGUAUAUUCCCUUUUUAUUCCGAACACCCAAGUAUAACUUUUAAUAUUAACAUCUUUUAGGGUUCGUACUGUGGGUUUGUUCUUUCACUUUCAUUCUCAUCUAUAAUGGAAUUGCCUCAUUCCAUUUUGGCCAAUGAUAUUGUCGACAUUUAAUAAUUGAACGUGGUUCCAAUCAACACAGCCCAUUGAUGAUUUGAGUAGCUACUCCAAAACCAAAAAUUGUCAUUCAUCAAUUCAUGAUCCCACCAUUCUCAUGUGCAUGCGCAUGCAUGAAUUAAAAGCAUUUAUUUGCCUUUGGGUACCCAAGCCACUUCAUGGGGCUUUUAUUAUGUGAGAAUGUGGAUUAUAACCUCCAUUGGAGCGUUAUUUAGUAGUAGGGCGUGGAUAAUCUCUAUUUAGGGAGUUGGAACAUUGAGAACCCAUAUAUCUGUCAUGUUGCAGGCAUGCCACAGAUUAAUACAUACAUGUCAAUUAAUUUCUGGGACUUUAACCCAUAUUAUGGGACUUUAACCCAUAUAAUUUGCUACGCAUUAGGCGUGCAUAAUAUCAAUAUUGACAUGUCAAAGGAUUGUCCAUUUGGGACUUCAAUCCACAUCAUUUGCUACGCAACAGGCGUGCAUCAUAUUGAUCACUGCUAUACCCAUGUUAUGUUCUUAUGGGACUUUUAAUCUGUGCAGUGUAUUAUCAAUGUAUCCAACUUGCAAUCUGUAAAAUUUGCAUUAAUAAUUCAUGGAUACAUACAAGUCAUUCUUUUGGAACGGACUUAUCUCCCCAUUUGGUUACCUUUCAAGAUAAAAUAUCAAAUAGAUAUAUAAGCAUAAAAUAACACAAGUAUUGCUUACAUCCUUAGGUGGGAGAAACUUUUCUCAAGUAUCAUUCAAGCUCAUAUCAGCCCAGUAAAUAUAAUGUAGCGCUUGAUGAUCUAGUUAUAUCCUGCAAGAGCAAAAAUCACAACUCUUUUGCCUCUGUCAAAACAAAUAACCCUCAUAGUUAGGAUUACUUCAUGGAUUCAUUAUUCAGAUGUUCAUUCUAAAGAAAUAAAAUCUCUUAUGAACAGAGAGUUAUAAAAAGAGAAAAAAUGCAAAAAUAAUGUGAUAUUGAUUGCAAGAGAAGGUAAGCAAUUAGGGAAGGAAGCUGGUGGGAGCAGACAAUAAGCUCUCAUAUCUCCUAGUCUAGAAGGACCUCAGGAGAUUAGAGCAUAAGGCCGCCUUUACAAUUCCCUGAUCUUGUAGAAACAUGAUCAGGGAUAGUCUUGCUUCCUGAAUGGAUGAUCAGAGAUAGUCUUGCUUCUCAGGCAUAUUAAGUGCUUACUGAUAAGAAAAACAAGUAGAUAUCGCAUCACUAGGUAUGGAGUAAACUGGAUGUCUUCUGCAAAGAAAAUUUCGUUAGUAACACAUUUAUACACAAAUACAAUGAAUAGGUAGAACCGGUGAAUUUCAAAUUAACCAUAGGAAAAUUGCGAGAUUCUCGGGAUGCUGUUGAAAAAGUGCGAGAUUCUCGGGAUGCUUUUGAAAAAGUAUCUCUGUGAAAUCCGUAAAGCAAGAUCGGCUUUGAAAAUAAUGCUUGAAAACGUCGAAAGUGCCGACAGGCAUUAUUAGAGGCCACGUGAAAUUUUGGACUCUAGGAAAGAAAAAGAUAAUAUGGGGAUUCGAGAAGAUAUUGGGGUCCUGAAAAACAGUAGCCAUAUUACCUUCUAUAGAUAUGGCCUUUGUAAAACUUGAUUGGAGCAACUGCGUUUCAACUCAAAUUUCUUCAUUUUCUGAAACUUUAGUUUUCCUAAGACUUUCUUCGAAACCUUCUCAAAAAUGGCUUCCUCUUCUUCCUGCCCAAAUUAUUUCAAUUUAAAUGAUGCUCCAACAGCAAACAGUGACGCCAAAGUUUGGCGUCCAUCCUUUGUAUCCCAAAAUCGUCAUCUCACAGUUAAUGAUUCUGUGAUGAUGAAUGAUGCUACUGCUGUCAUAGUAGCUAGGAAUUUCAUUACUCCAAUGGAUGAAAUGCUGUUAACAGGGAGGUCUGAGGAAGAGGCUAUUGAUGACUCAAUGGCUUUUAGCAUUCAGAGUGCUGUUUCUGUUUCUAACAUGGCUGAUCGUUUGCGUGUUAGAGCAAACGAGGUUGAGAAGCUGACAACUGAAAAUUCGUCUCUCCAAAGAAUGCUUCAUGAGUCUCAACAGGAGGUUGAGAAACUUAAAGGAGAGAAUAAUUCCUUGUUGAAACUGGUGAGUUCGUACUCAGUUGAUACACUGAGAAGGCUAGACAUGCUGCAGGUCUCCAAUGAAAGAAUUUUGGGAGACCACGAGAAGCUCAUGGCUAAGCUUAAGAGGCGCCGUCCUCUUCCUUCAGAGGCUUCCAGAACAUAAUGUAAUUUUAUAGAUUUUACAGGGCCUGCACCUUCAUUGCAGGUGAAAAAAAUCUAUCUGUUGUAUGUUUCUGUAAUAAUAAUUGCGCACAUUCUUAAACUUGCACCUGUGGUUUUUACGUCUUUUCAAAAUGACGGUUUGGAACCUUGUGCCUUAUAGGUUCAAAUAACCACAUUGUCUCUCCCAAAUUGCAUGGUAGCCCGGAACUUUUGGCCUGGGCACAAACUCAGAAUUUAUUUGCCCUUUUCAAAUGGACAUGAAAUAUGAAUUGAGUAAAAGCCACGAUAAUAUCGCAAUAUAGUAGUGAAGAGCAUUAACUACUAUAUACCCACAACUUCAAGUUCAGGAUCUCUCAUAUAUUUGGAUCCAUGGGCUUCCGCCCCAGGUAUAAUAAAAUAUGUGGGGAGCCUCAAUUCGUUAUUUGAGGUUUAUAUUGAUAUUAUCCAUUUCGCGGUGUAUUCUUAACAACCGGAAUUCACAAAAUAUAUUUCUUCCUUGAGGUGUCGAUUAUAACAGAAUCGAACUUUAUUAAAUUCAUCAUCUUCUUAUGCCAAAGAAAUAUGUAGUGUACCACAAUUUGCAAUAAUACCUCAAGGGUUGUCCAUUUAAUUGUUGGAACUUCAGGUUCUCAAUACUCUUAAAUUUUGAACUUCAGGCCAAAGCCACAUAUUCUCAUGGUAUGGACAUUUUUACAAUUUUCUGUACAUAUUCCGGGACUUCAAGCCCUUACAUAAUUGUCAUAUUUUGAGGAACUUCUGGCAUCUCAUUUAAUUUCUCAUCCAUGAGUUUAAGGAACUGCAGGUUCCCUUUUGUAUAUAGUGACGGUUUAUCCAAAAUGGUUAAUAUUUAUGCAUACGUCACUAUUCAUGUGAAUAGUAUUGUUCAUUAAGUCAUGAAUACAUAUCUAUUCAUGUGUAAAGUACAUCUGCUAGUACAGUUAUCAUCCAUGGCCCAUAUUUAUGCAUACGUCACUAUUCAUGUGAAUAGUACUGUUCAUCAAGUCAUGAAUACAUAUCUAUUCAUGUGUACAGUACAUCUGCCAGUACAGUUAUCAUCCAUGUGUACGGCACUAUGAACCAAUACGGUACUAUUACAUCAUUAAGGAACCCCAGGUCCUUAUUCACAUGUCAGGGAUCAAGGACCUUUAAGUCCAAUCACAUGUUUACAAGUAUAGUACCGGAGAGACUGCCAGCUCUCAUAUCAAUAUUAUCAUCAAUGAUCUUCAAGUCCUGAUGUAAUUGUAUGAUGAGGAUCAAGGAACUUCUGGUCCUGAUCUGCACACUGUAAAAACUCAUCAUACAGCACAAUUAAUCCAUAAAAUAAAUUGCUGAUAAAUAAAUUACUGGUAUGGACGAUAAACCCGCACCAUACUUUAAAUAAAUUAAAUAGCUUGCUGUAUGGACGUUAAUCCCGCACCAUAUCUUAAAUAAAAUUAAAUGUGCGGUAAAGUAAACGUGCUUAUAUGGGCACUAAUUCUGCUCCAUACAUUUAAAUAAAAGCAAAGGCGUGGGCGAUAAACCCGCACCACCCUUUUAAAUAAAUACUGUUGUAUGGGUAAUAAACCUACACCAUAUAGUAAAUAAAAAAAAUGUGGGAAUAAAAACCACCACUUUGAACAAGAUAAGGAAAGUGUUAGUAUUAGUAACGGUCUCCCACUGAUAAUAUGUUUAGUAUUACCAAGGGUCCAUUUUUGUUAAUGGUUAGUAAUAGAAAAGCAGAUAAAUAUAGUAUAUUAUAUUACCAUCAACUUUUCAUAUAUAAUAUAUAUAUAUAUAUAUUAUACUGAUAUAUUAGUGGAAAGCUAGAUACGUUGGCUUUUCUUCUUUACAUCAACAUAAUGGUUAGUAUUAUAAAUAAUAGUGCAGCACAAAAAUUAUACCUGAGAGCUUCUCGUGCUGAUAACGUGUUAUAAAAUAACCUAGAAUAUGUGCGAUAAUUCAGAGCUGCACGUAAAGUAGAUGAGACACAGCAUUUAACGAGGUUCGGCUAUGCCUACGUCCUCGGAGAGCAGCAGUAGUAACUUUUCCACUAUGUAAAAUAAUAGGGCUACAAGUUUAGUGUUUACAAUAUAUGUGGCUCACUGAAUUUUCUCUCUAGGAGAAUUUCUCUCUGCUCUCUCUUUCCUCUUUCUUCCUUCUCUUCCUUUCUCUUUUUUCUUCUCUUCUUCUUUCCGUUUCUCUUCUUAUUUAUAGGCUGAAAUAAUCACUAUUCAUCACUGUUCACCCGUGACAGACAAACUCUAUCAAAGCCGCCAAAUGAACAGUAAUGAACAGUAAUGAAAACUCUAUCAAGCCGCCAAAUGAAUAGUAAUGAACAGUAAUGAAUAGUUAGUGGGCUCCACAUGUUUAUUCUUUUAUUCUUUUACAACAAAUAUAGACAAAUUUUUCUUAUAAUAAGUGAAUUAGUAAGACUCUACAUAGCAAUUUGACAAGUUGAUUAGUGGAAUAUGUCCUAAACGGAAAUAGUACCUCUUGACUUGACCCAUCAAACAUAUGGCCUAAAAAAUGGUAGAAGAUAUACUUGAACAGAAGAAGCCUAUCAUACACAAAAAUUUCACACGUAAGUUGCAAAAGCGAAAGCAAGAAGUAGAUGGAAAACUUUGAUUGGAAUUGGAAAAAACAACACCUUUGUGCCAUGACAAAGGGCAAGUAAAGGCAAAUACUAUUCACGUGAAUUGUGACUAUCCUAGUAAUUUUUUGAUGCAUUCCCAUCCAUUGUUAGAUAUGAGGAGAGGAAUUUGUAUGGAUUUUGAUGUGGGAAGCGAAGAACACGACUAGAUAUUUAUAAAUAAAAAAAUUCUGAUUUUUUUUAUUUUUUAUUUUUAUUUUUUUGGUAUAUAUCCUAAACGGAAAUAGUUGUAUACAUAUAGACCAGUUGACUUGACCCAUCAAAAAUAUGGUAGAAGAUAUACUUGAACGCAGGAAGCCUAUCAUACACAAAAUUUCCACAUGUAGUGCAAGUUGCAAAAGCGAAAGCAAGAAGUAGGUGGAAAACUUUGAUUGGAAUUGGAAAACACAACACCUUUGUGUCAUGACAAAGGGCAAAUACUAUUCAUGUGAAUAGUGACUGUCCUAGCAAUUUUUUUAUGUAUUCCCAUCCAUUGUUAGAUAUGUGGAGAGGAAUUUGUAUGGAUUUUGGUGUGGGAAGCGAAGAACAUGGCUAGAUAUUUAUAAAAAAAAAAUUUCUGAUUUUUUAAAUUUUAAUUUUAAUUUUUUUGGUAUAUAUCAUAAACGGAAAUAGUUGUAUACAAAUAGACCAGUGGACUUGACCCAUCAAAAAUAUGGUCUCAAAAUAUGGUAGAAGAUAUACUUGAACAGAGGAAGCCUAUCAUACACAAAAAUCCCACAUGUAGUGCAACUCGCAAAAGCGAAAGCAAGAAAUAGGUGGAAAACUUUUAUUGGAAUUAGAAAACAUAAUACCUUUAUGCCAUGACAAAAGGGCAAGUAAGGGCAAAUACUAUUCACGCGAAUAGUGACUGUCCUAGCAAUUUUUUGAUGCAUUCUCAUUUAUUGUCAUGGCAACUCAAGGGUAACCACUAUUUACAUAAAAUACGAGGAGAGGAAUUUGUAUGGAUUUUGGUGUGUAAAGUGAAAAAAAUGGCUAGGUAUUUAUAGAAAUUUUUUUUCUGAUUAUUGUAUUUUUAAAAUUUUUUUUUUGGUAUUUUAAUUAACUGCUGAUGUCAGCAUGACGUGAACUUGCUUAGGCAAGCCUUGCCUUAGGCUUGCUCAAUUUUCUGGACCCACUUCUUGCUUUGGCAAUUUUUUCUUUGUGAGUGUUGUUUUUAGAGCCUAAUAGAAGGGGAGGGGUGGAAGUGCUCUUAAGCAAAACCACAUACAGCAUGCAACGUGACGCCCCUUCCCAAAUUCAGUCGCCAAGUACAUUUUUUUAGCACAUGCGAACAAAUCAAAAAGUACAUUUUUUUAGCACAUGCAAACAAAUCAAACACCUUUAUAUUUUUGCUUUCAGUCAAGCUAGACAGAGCUUGAAGAAGAAGAAGAAGAAGCUUGUUUUGUGUGUCAGUCAACAAUGGCGGAUGAGGUUGUUCUUUUGGACUUCUGUGCAAGCAUGUUUGCGAUGAGGGCGAGAGUGGCGCUGGCUGAGAAGGGUGUCAAGUAUGAGAACAGAGAGGAGGACUUGAGGAAUAAGAGUUCAUUGCUUCUGCAGAUGAACCCGGUUCACAAGAUGAUCCCGGUUCUCAUCCACAACGGUAAACCGAUCUGUGAGUCUCUGAUCAUUGUGCAGUAUGUUGAUGAGGUCUGGAGGGACAAAGCUCCUCUGCUUCCCUCGGAUCCUUACCAGAGAGCUCGGUCAAGGUUCUGGGCGGACUUCAUUGAUAAGAAGGUAAUUAGCUUGUCUAAGUUGUCUCUUGCCUUUUUUUAUAUAUAUAAAGCUGCUAUAUAUACUGAUUGCAAUUCAACUACAGAAAAAUUAUAGAAAAUUUUGAAAAUUUGAAGUUUUCCCGGCUUAAAAUUUACUUAUAUUAGACCAAAUUGAAAGGAUUUACAUAAAUGAGAAACUGUUUUGUCAUGGGUUUUUCAAUGGGUCACUCUGUUCCACACCAGACCUUGAAACUAUGGUAUGCUCAAUUACAACAUGAUCUUGCUUGCUAUCUGGGAAGAUUGUAUAAAAAAAAUAAAACAAGUCCACUUCUUAAAAAUAUCUUAUUAAUUCUGUGUGUCUGGAUAAAUGAGUGGAAUUUUUUUGAAAAUAGAAACUGAUUAGUGUUAGAGGAGCAACAAGCCUUCAACCUUGGCAAAAACAGAGUUUUAAUUUCAAGUUUUGGAAUGGGGACUAGAAAAAACAGUUUAAUCCAAUUGAAUAAUUUCUAGGAGUUCAUUUUGAUGUAAUGUUUGCAAAAAUUGCAGCUAUACGUUGCUUCGAGGAAAAUAUGGGGCACAAAAGGAGAGGAACAAGAGGCAGGCAAGAAGGAAUUCAUUGAAGCCCUUAAGCAGUUGGAAGGAGAGCUUGGAGACAGGCCUUAUUUUGAGGGUGAGAGCUUUGGGUUCUUGGACAUUGCUCUUAUCCCAUUCUACAGCUGGUACUAUGCAUAUGAGACUUUUGGAAGAGCGUGUCGAAAUCUCUUGCAGACCCUAAAAAGGUGUAUGAGUCUCUUGUUAAUUGGGUAUAGAACAGGCUGCUAGCCAGCCGCAGACUCUAUCAACAUGGUCACCAUGUUAGCAAAUCCUGCAAUCAUAUGUUAGGCUGUUCUUCUGGAUCUUUUUCCUUUCAGCUUUGUUUUUCCAGUCAAUAAUGAUAUUUGCCGUCGACAAUAGUAAUGCAGAUACUUUGAUGUGUUUGCCUAUUGUUAUGAAUAAAGUGUUCAUAUGCAGAAAGGGUGUUUCUGAGUUGCAUUUUUUUGGCUGCUUGUUGAGCUUUGUCAUAACAAGUUCACAACAAUUUGAUAAUUUGACUACAAAACGUAUAUGACCAGAGACACAACAAAGUGCCUCCACAAAGUAGAGGGGGCUUGGCAACUUGGCCAACUGCCCUUUUAUUCUAAUUUCAGAACAACCCUAAACAGAGGUUGAAACUUAAAAAACACAGAACAAGUACAUGGAUGAUAUCUUAUUUAUGCCCAUGCUUUUUCCCAUCUACUCCAAUCCAAGUUUACUCCGAAGGCGCAGGGCGAAUUCGUAGACCCUUUUCUGGUCAGGAAGAGACUUGGACACACUCUCCUUCUGCAUGCACCUCUUUGCCCAUGCAAUAAACUUUGGGUGCUUUGCCUCCACACUGAAGUUUCCAAUUUUCUCGCGCGCAUAAAACCAGCUAUAGGUAGGAAUAAGUGCCACGUCCACGAAUCCGAGAUUCUCACCCCCAAAGUAAGGCUUGUCUCCAAGCUCUUCUUCUAACAACCUUAUGCACUCAAGGAAUUCCCUCUUUGCUGCUUCUUGUUCUUCUCCUUUGGUUCUCCAUGUCCUCUUUGCACUCUCAUAUACCUGCGUUUCACACCUCAGGCGAACCAUAAAAACUAUGUAUAAUUGGAUCAAUUAUAUUUUAGACCUAUGUAAUGUAUAUAUAUAAAGUAAAAGAUAGAGAAUGGUGAAACAUUCAAAAUUAAAAGAAAAUUCAGAUACUAAAUCUUAUUUUUAUGAAACACAACUACCCAUUAAUUAUCUUUUUUAAUUCUAAAAUAAAUUUAUAAAAAAAAGCCUUUCGUAGGCUCGAAAGCGCGUGCAGAGAGGCUAAUUAUUUAUAAUGUCACAGUUAUAUAACUUGGCGUUUUUCGGUUAGAGUGGAUUUUUACACAUAUUAUCUUUCAAUGAACAGUUCAUAUUGAUUGUGUGGGGCACCCAAUCGAGAUGUUAUUAACUUACUAACUAAUUAGCACUUAUUGUAACACUGAAAACACAAGCAUUUAUCCUAUUUCCAUUUAAUUAUCAUUCUAAUAAUUUACACAUCCUCAGUAAUAGUUCCAUGUAUCACAAAAAUCUUAAAGUUCUAACAUAUUCCAAACACAAAUUAGUAAUAUUACCUUCUUGUCAACGAAGUCAGCCCAGAACAUGGCUUGGGCUCUAAGGUAAGGAUCAGAGGGCAAAAGAGGAGCCUUAUCCUUCCAAACCUCGUCGAUGUACUGAACCGCAAUGAGAGACUCGGAGACCGGUUUGCCAUUGUGAAUGAGAACCGGGAUCUUCUUGUGAACCGGGUUCAUCUGCAGCAAGAGUGAGCUCUUGUUGGUCAAGUAGUCC
rnacentral:lncRNA from 1 species